ACGCUGUCAUCGUUUUCCCCUUCGAGUCGCCUCUUCCCCCUAUUUAUAUUCCUCUCUACAAUCUCAAUUUUCAGAUCCAAAAAAACUCUCUCGGGUUCUCUCUUUUUUGUCUUCAAAUUCUAGUAGAUCUUGAAAUGAUCUAUCUUCUGUUCAAGCGUUCUCUAGGUCCCGGAUACGAUUUCUUGCGUAGGCUUCCCGGCCUAUAUAGAUCUGAUAUCGAUGUGAUAUGCCUCUCUUGGCUUGAAGUUGGAUAGGAAAAGAAGGAUCGUGCUGCCAAUUAACGUAGUUUAUGGAGUGUUGUGCUUCGAUCUAGUGAAAAUAUUUUUUGCUGUAGAGAGUCCGGAUUUCUUGCCGAGGAGAUCUCUUCCUUGCAGGAAAACCUAAGGAUUACACGGACUACGGUGAUUCGCUUUUUUGCGGGAUGGAGCAGGGGGUGUUGGCGUUUUGCCGGUGUUCGCGAGUAUUAAUAGGCUGCUAAUGAGUUAUGGGUAAAUUAUUUACAUGUGCUUGAUAAUAUAUUCAGCAAUUAUUCUCUCCGAUCAUGUUAAAUAUAGAGUUUAGCGUGAUCGGUGGUUUGUUGGGUGCGUGGCUGAGUGGAUAAAAAGGUAUUGAGAUAUGUAGAUCUCUGAUAUAUGUUGUUAAUUGUGUCAGUCCGACCUUUGCCAUGUCAGGUGCGCUUGCUUGGCAGGUCAAAAAACCUAAUAAAAAAGAGAACAUUUUUGGGUUUUGAAGGGGGAGAUGGCACGGGAUUAUUUAUUUAUUUAUUUUGCCCGGCUCUCCCCCUUCUGUGUUGGACAGGCUCCUUGUUUCCUUAUCUUUCUACCCACUUUCUUGUUUCUGCCGGACGGAUACCAAAAACAUAGCACAUCGUACACGGAAACCAAUGUACCAGCAGGAAUCAGCACUAACAACAUCAAUUCAUCACCCCAAGGUAUAUUCUGGUAUCGACAAGUUAAUUUCCUAAUAUAUUAUUAUUCCCUGUCUGCAUUAAGUUAUCUCCCAGCUUUUGUGGAACAGUUAACUAUUUCAUACAUGAUAUCAUAACACGAACUGAUCACACUACCCUUAACUGUUCAACGGCUCUUGUUAUUCAUUUACAAUAUUAUUUAUAAACUUUGAGAAAAGGUUCAUUUAAGUGUGUACACCUGGUGUAGAUAAAUUUGAGCCCUGGCAUCUUAACGCACAUGUGCACUGGAAUAAUAAGAUGUUUGAUUUGCAGCUACCUUCCGCAUUCUAGCCAUUGCUCACAAUGUCUACAAUCUGACUAUUCUAGCCACUUGCAUAUUUUUUUGGGUUUUGGUUCAUAGCCUGCAAUCUAAUAAUAUUUAAAAAGUCCCAACAAUUUAUGACACAACUUCUCCAUUCAAGUAUGGAUAAAACCUGAUAUGCUGUGUGGAAAGACAAGCUAGAUGAGAUCUGAUAUAAGCCCGUUGCAAAGACAAGCUAUAUUAUUGUUUCAGCUUUGAUUCUGAGCAUCCCGACCUCGUACUUUCUAUUUAUUGAUCGAUGUUAAUAUUUAUUUAUACUUCAUUCCAGUAUGAUUUUGUUAUGCAAUAUUUGUAGCCAAAAUUUCUCCCUCAGUGUAUCGAUUGUGUUAUAGAACACUGUAUUUGUCAGGGAGGGCUAUGGAUAGUGAAUUGUUGUCACGUGAUUAUCUUUUGUAACUACGGUGUUAUUACAGUUUGUAUAGUGCUUUGAUCAAAUCUAGUCAUCCAAAAUGUAUUUUGGAAGACCUAUUGCUCCUGUAAGCUCUCAUAGGUAAUGCCUUUUCCUGCGACUGUAAUAUUGGAGGGCAUUGAGGGAUUGCCGCAUCAUGUUCUGCUACCCAAACCCAUUUUGGAAUUUAUCACGUUCAGCCACUCUGCCUUUUGGAGCAAGUUCUGAUUCUAAUGCUUUUCCUGCGACUGUAAUAUUGGAGGGAGUUCAAGGAUUGCCGCAUCAUUCAAACCUGUGUUGGAAUUUAUCAUGUUCAGCUGCUCUGCCUUUUGGAGCAAGUUCUGAUUCUGGAGUUCACUUGUGCUGCCUUCUCACUAUUUGACAGAGACAAUGGAGUAGCGAUACAGGAUCGGAGGUAAAUUGAUGAAGUGAGGCCUUGACACACGAGCCUGACCUAGCUGAGCCUAUGUAUGGAUAUAGGUAUCAACCAUUUCUCCUGCAUGCCCGUGUUUUCAUGCCAUGACCUUGAUUGUUAUUGUACCAAGCUUUUCGAGGACUGCCUUGAAUUCAUGUCUUGCGGAAUGUGCUUCAUUUGUUCCUGAAUGACAUCACGGUCAAUUCGAGAGAAGAGCUACCUCGAAGAAGUUUUACAGUAGUAAUGGAUGUUAAAUGAAUGAAAACAAGUGAUUGGGUUGACAAGUAUUAUUUCCAUCGACAAGCCUUUUUUCUGCUAGCAACGUCAAUCAGCGCUGUUCUUUUCCCCUUAAAUAGCUAAGCUUUAUUGCACAUGGAAUGCUUUUUUAUCCAGGAGAUUGUCUCUAGCACUACAUAAAGCGUGUGUUUUGUGUCUUUAAAGCGUUGUAUGCAUGCGAGGGUAACAGAAUUCAGGUUCUUGCAUUGUUUUAUGAUUCUGAGUGUCUUCAUCCCACCUCUUCUUAGGUAUCCAGAUUGAAAAACUCGGUAUUUUCUAAAGAGGUAUGUUGAUGUUUUCAUUUCCUCAAAUUGGAUGGUAUAUCGAGGAGUAAAGACCAAUAUAAAGGUUAAAAACCCUAAGGAAAUGGAGUGUUCGGAGGUCUUAUGUGGAAGUGGGUUCAGGAUGCAAAGAGCUUUUGAUCUUUAUCAUCGAGGUGUAUCUCGGAAGUAAUUAAUGGCAAGCUACUCGUUAUUCUGAGCACCUAGAAUUUUUAAUAAAAAUUAAUAUGUUGAGA